rnacentral:rRNA from 1 species
ACAUAUGCAAGUCGAACGGCAGCAUGGAGAGCUUGCUCUCUGAUGGCGAGUGGCGAACGGGUGAGUAAUACAUCGGAACGUGUCCGUUUGUGGGGGACAACCGUCCGAAAGGAUGGCUAAUACCGCAUGAGACCUGAGGGUGAAAGCCGGGGACCGCAAGGCCCGGCGCAGACGGAGCGGCCGAUGAUUGAUUAGCUAGUUGGGGAGGUAAAGGCUCACCAAGGCGACGAUCAAUAGCUGGUCUGAGAGGACGACCAGCCACACUGGAACUGAGACACGGUCCAGACUCCUACGGGAGGCAGCAGUGGGGAAUUUUGGACAAUGGGGGCAACCCUGAUCCAGCCAUGCCGCGUGCGGGAAGAAGGCCUUCGGGUUGUAAACCGCUUUUGUCAGGGACGAAAAGCUCCGGAGUAAUAUGCCGGAGUGCUGACGGUACCUGAAGAAUAAGCACCGGCUAACUACGUGCCAGCAGCCGCGGUAAUACGUAGGGUGCGAGCGUUAAUCGGAAUUACUGGGCGUAAAGCGUGCGCAGGCGGUUGGGUAAGACAGAUGUGAAAUCCCCGGGCUUAACCUGGGAACUGCAUUUGUGACUGUCCGACUGGAGUACGUCAGAGGGGGGUGGAAUUCCACGUGUAGCAGUGAAAUGCGUAGAUAUGUGGAAGAACACCGAUGGCGAAGGCAGCCCCCUGGGACGCAACUGACGCUCAUGCACGAAAGCGUGGGGAGCAAACAGGAUUAGAUACCCUGGUAGUCCACGCCCUAAACGAUGUCUGCUGGUUGUUGGGAAUUUAAUUCUCAG